rnacentral:snRNA from 1 species
AUUAUUUGUGCGACUCCUGCACGUGGUGCAGCGGAGACGAGGACGAGAUCGUUUGUACGUGGUGCGGUGGAAACGACGACGAGAUCGUUUGCAUGGACGACAAGGCCUACAAGGUUUGCCUAAAGAAUUCUUGGGAAUGUGGAAAGGACAAACCCU